AUACGUAGGGGACGAGCGUUAUCCGGAUUUACUGGGUGUAAAGGGAGCGUAGGCGGCCAGCCAAGUCAGAAGUGAAAUCCCACGGCUCAACUGUGGGCGUGCUUUUGAAACUGGAGGGCUUGAGUACUGGAGGGGCAAGCGGAAUUCCUGGUGUAGCGGUGAAAUGCAUAGAUAUCAGGAAGAACACAGGAGGCGAAGGCGGCGUGCUGGACAGAGACUGCCGCUGAGGCUCGAAGGCGUGGGGAGCAAACAGGAUUAGAUACCCUGGUAGUCCACGCGGUAAACGAUGAAUGCUAGGUAUGGGGCUCCAUAGGGGUUCGGUGCCGCAGUUAACGCAAUAAGCAUUCCACCUGGGGAGUACGUUCGCAAGGUUGAAACUCAAAGGAAUUGACGGGG
rnacentral:rRNA from 1 species